GCGGCCCCAUACAAGAGAAUCCGAAGAGUUGCAUUUAUUGGAGCCAUACCCAAGAAUCCAUCAGGCAAGAUUCUCAGGAAGGAUCUGAUAAAGCUUGCAACCUCAAAACUAUGAAUGGUUUGGGUUUUGGAAUAACAAAUGUUCUGAAAAUAUUGGACUACUAGAAUAUCCAUGUCCAUAACCUUUUUUGAGCCAUAGUACGGCUUCUUAGUCUUGUAUAUCAACAUAUUUGGGAUUCUUCAUAGCAGAGUGAAAAUGUAUUCCAUGAAUUCUUCCCCGUAAGGCACUUGCAGUGGUCCAUCAUGAGCCGCGGUUCCGAACUCCUCCGCAGCCAUUUCCAGCAGAACUUGAAGAUAGGGUGAGUCAAGUAGUACAAGGCACAACGAACCUCAUGCCUUCCUUGGGAUAAAUAGCAUAAUGGCGCCUCUUUCCCUAGAUCCAUUUCCGAAUGAUAUCGAUUAGUACCUUAAAGAACUAUUCAUGUGCAAAAAAUAUAUAAAUAAAUAAAAACUGGGUUUUAUUACUUGUAGAUGUUUAGUGUGUUUGAGAGUGACAGAUUGCUGGGUUCUUGCAUUGGAGCGUAUGUUGUGGUUGAUUAUGAAUAUGAUUUUAGGCAGACAAUUGGAAUGGCUUGUAAAAAAAGCUAAUUGAUGUGAGGUGAGAUGCCCGCAGAUCGGUGAGGUAUGGAGAGAAUGGGUUUCCUGUGACGCUGAUAAUGUGGGAUGACCGUUCAAUGACAAGGAAAAGGGAGGGGAAAAGCCAUGUGUAUUUAAAAAUUGAAAGAAAAGAUCAUUUCUUUUGUCUCGGAACUCGUCUAUGGGUCGAGGGAGGCUUGUAGGAG
rnacentral:misc_RNA from 1 species